rnacentral:rRNA from 1 species
GACGAACGCUAGCGGCGUGCCUAAUACAUGCAAGUUGAGCGCUGAAGGUUGGUACUUGUACCAACUGGAUGAGCAGCGAACGGGUGAGUAACGCGUGGGGAAUCUGCCUUUGAGCGGGGGACAACAUUUGGAAACGAAUGCUAAUACCGCAUAAAAACUUUAAACACAAGUUUUAAGUUUGAAAGAUGCAAUUGCAUCACUCAAAGAUGAUCCCGCGUUGUAUUAGCUAGUUGGUGAGGUAAAGGCUCACCAAGGCGAUGAUACAUAGCCGACCUGAGAGGGUGAUCGGCCACAUUGGGACUGAGACACGGCCCCAAACUUCCUACGGGAGGGCAGCAGUAGGGAAUUCUUCGGGCAAAUGGGACGAAAAGUUCUGGACCGGAGGCAAACGCCCGCCGUGGAAGUGAAAGAAAGGUUUUUCG